ensembl:lncRNA
AGACAGCAAGCCAAGUGGGCAGAUGGGGACUUCUGUCCUCUACAAACAGAAACCAACCACUACUGUCCCUUGCUACUUCCUCUUCUUGCUGAUGCGUGGUUCACGCAUGGCAUCAUGCUCUGAUACCUCCCCAGAUACAGCUUUCUGCCUCUCCUGCUACCAGGGCACCGUACCUAUUCUGCAACUGUGGACCUGUAGGUGGAGAAGGAACUGCUGUCCAUGUGCCAGAAGUCAUGUUAGUUAUUUUCAUCUCAUAAUUUCUAAUCAAUAUUGCAUUCAGCAUCACACCAGCUUGGAAGAGCCUGGGGAACCUCAUGGAUAACAUGCUGAGUCAGCAGUGCUCCCCGAUGGAGAAGAUGAAAGCAUACUGAAGACGCAUAAGCAAGAGUGUAACCAGCAGGUGGAGAGAGGUGGCUUCCCCUCCUCUUCUUAACACUGCUGAAAUUGCAUCUACCAUGUUGUGCCUUGUUUUGUGAUUCUGCUAGGAAAAAAAAACAUUGGCAUCAGUAGAUAAUGACUGAAACGGUUAGAGGGUUGCAGCACAUCACAUGCAAGGAGCUGCUCAGCAAACUACUUUCUGCAGUCUUCAGAAGAGAAGGGUAAGGGAAGGAUCUUGUUGCAUUUCCAUUUACUGAAAGGAAGGGUUUAGAAAAGAUGGAACCAAGAUGCUUCUAGAGGUACAGUGUGAUUGGAUGAGAGGCAAUGACAGAAGUUGCAAUGUGUGAAAUUCUAAUUAAUUGUUUGUAAAAAACAAACAAUGAAUGAAUGAGAUUGCUGAGAGACUUCACUGCAUUGUACACUUCAGGAAUACUGAAAGCUCAAUUGGCCAAGGCCCUGAAUAACUUUAUCUGAGUUGGCCCUGCUUUGCGAUGGAGUUUGGACCAAAUGGUGAUCAUAAGUCCCUUCCAACACACACAAUCCCAUGUUCCUGCAUGGUUACAUUGCCUGCAGAAUAAAACAAAAUCCUUCCUCACUUCACAUGAGGACAAACUAUUUAGAGACAGAUUGUUUUAAGUGGUAGGUAAAACUCGUCAGGAUAUGUAAAGCAGUGAAAUUGCACCGAAUGUUCCUGAGUUCUCUGUAGGUCAUGCACAAAUAUUCUAAGUAGAUAAAUAUUGUUGUGGAAAGGUAACAGUGUGAUAUGGCAUACAUUCCCAUUUAAAGAUUGUGUUUAAGCCCUAUGUGUACUUGCAGUUAUUUUUGGACAUUCAAGGUUUAAAUAUAUGGGCAUAGUUGUGUUUAAUCUGCUUUUGAAUAUAAUUUUUAAUGUAAGUUAUUGCAGUAAUUCUGGAUUGUGAUAGCUCAGAAAAUUCUUUCAGAUUUCAUAAUGCACAGAAACCUAAUCUUCAAUUUAGCCUCAAGCUCAGAAACAAUAACAUGCACAUUUUUAUUGUAAUUGUUCUUCCAUAAUUUAUAAUGAAUGUAAUUGAACUGAGACUCUCAUAAUAAUGUGAACAGAUGUCUUGACUUGUAAUAUGUUGUUCUAUAUUAGAUGCUUUUUUUAUAAUCAUUGAAAUGUGCCUGUAUUGUGUGUCUCCUUCCCUUGAACUAUGAAAUGCUUUAGAAGUGCAGAAGCAGUGUGAAUUCAGCAGCUCUAUUCAAGAUAAAACAGCCAAAACAACAAGCGUUAACAUUGUCCACUGGGUACUUUCCAUCGAUAACUUUUGUCUUGACAAAGAUCAAUUGUCUGUCCUAGAAGCUUUAGUGGAAAGAAUUAGAUCAAGUCAUUUAAAUUUUUUAGUAAGAAUUGAACAUUUACUGUUAAGUGAACUCAAUUUUAGGAGUAUCAAGGAGGGGAACACUUUACUCUAUUAUAGGUGAUGUUGGCUGAAAGAGACUGGAAAACAAAUACUAAUUGAACUUUCCGAGUGACAGGUCCACUGAGAUAUUCUGUGUCCAGUAGGAGAUCUCUGAAUGGGGAUUGUCCCAAGAGUAACACUGCGUCUGUGCUCAGUAGUUGUCAGUAGCACUCUACAGACCAACUCACCCUUCAUGACUAUGGGACAUCGCAUCAUGCUGUUCCAGUGCAUUUGUCUAAUUCUUCUGCCUUGAAAUCCAUUAGGAGAGAAUGGAAUUACUGACACUUACUGAGCUGCUGCCAGAAGGAAAGUAGUAAAACUAUUAUUAGGAUUUUCACAGGGAAACCCUUGGGAGAUUGUUUUCAGCGAGAUAAGAAGUUCAAUUUAAUUACUGAAAUAAUUUGCCUGAAACAUGUUAUUAUCUGCAGCACAGCAGAACCUGGUAAAUACUUAUCUCUUGCUGUGGCAGCUCAGUGAAUCAGAACGGUCAAGCUCCCCUGCACUCCAUUGAUGAGCACAAUGUGUGUCCCCAAAGUUGUCACUGCAAAUCAGCAUUGAAGAGAAUGUGGCAACUGCCCCAUGUGGUCACACCACCGGAAACACUGACAAGAAAAGAAAGAAAAGGGGCUGUCCCCAAGAGAGCACACUGUAUGUUCAUGUGGAGUGCCUUUGGGAGAGCUCUGGACAGGCACAGCUCGUACCUUGAGUGACAGACUCUGCCUCACCUUGUUUCACUUUAACCUAACAUAGUAAGAGCGCUUCCAGAUGUGGAGUCCUCAGUACAGGAGAGACAUAGACCUGUUGGAGCGUGUCCAGAAGAGGGCCACAAAAGUGGCAUCAUAAGGAAGAAGCAUCUUUAGUAGUGCUGCCCUAGAACUGGCAGAAGUACUCAGCAGUACAUUAUGCCCAGAGUACAAGCUCGAAUAAUAUUAAUGCAUUGCAAACUGAAGACAAUACAUAACUUCUAGGAUAACUUAGCCCCUCUCCCCCUUCUCCCUUAUCAUUUUUAUCUUUUCCUUUUGCUUUCAUUUCCAAUUCUUCGUGCUAGUCUGUUAGUUGUACUUUUUUUUAAUUAUUAUUUUUUACCUCUACAGACUCUCUUUCCUUUUCACAUUUUCCCUUUUGGGAAGUUGGGGGAGGCUGGUACUUGGUGUUAGAAAUAAGGGAAAAGGCCGGUAAGGGCAGUGGCAGACAGCAGAUGCUUGAAGAAUAAUCUGAGAGCCAGGCACCAAGUUAAAAUUGCCUAUUCAAAGUUGUUUUGAAAGGAUGCUACCUAACAAAGUAGAGCAAAAAAAAUUAUGAGUUACUGUGCUUCUCACAACUGCCAUUCACACUUUCUAAGAUACCACUAAACAUUUUCCCCUGAGCUCCACUAGAAGUGGUGCUGAGCAGGUGAGCGUUUGUCUGAUGAAAUACUGAAAACAUACGAAAGAAAAUGAGGUUGUUUUAGGUAUUCUGCCUCUCAUCUGCUACAGUGUGAGCUGUGAUGUGCUCUCAUGAACGACUGUACCCUAUAAAUUGCUCUUAUCAAUUUUAUCACUAUAUUAAAUUUUUGGACUCGUAUCUUUAGAUGUAUUUUUAAGGAAUGCUGCCUUAUAAGCAUGGAACUCUCAAAUCAGUAAGUCAGGCUGCCUAAGCUUUCAUUUCUAAACUAGCGUAUAGCAACAUGAGCCUCUGGAAUGGGCUGUCAAGACUGCAACAAGCAUUCUGUACUAUGUAAGAUCUUUUGUAGGUUCUUUGGCCCUACUGGGAAGCCAUAAACAGUGCCUGUUUCAAAGAGCCCAGAAAACAGAGCACUGUGAAGUUCAAAAUGUGAAGAAGAAAUACUGCCAACUCCAAUAGCUCUCCUGGGGUCAUAUAGUUUUGGGCUGGAGCUGAUACCAGCUUUGUGUGGACAAAUUCAGUCUUUUCACAAAACCUUUUACUGGCCAUUACUUUAUUCAUGGUAUAAAGACUAACCAAGCUAUUUUGUUUUAAGCCAUAUAUUUAAAUCUUCAUGAGACAGGGGAGGGCUUGGAAGGGGGAAAGUGGGGAGAACUAAUGGCUGAGUUAGGAGUCUUUCACAGCUGUACAGCAGCAGUGGUUUGCAGUGCAUGGCAAUACCACAAAUAUUAAGUGCUUAAGCAGUGGUGCUGAAUCAAAUGGUGAAUACAUUCUAAAGAAAUACAAAUGACAACUGUUUAUACGCUUUAUUUUCCAAAUACAUAAAAGUAAAUAAUUUGAAACAUGUAUUUGAUUUACAUCUUGUAUUCCUACCUUUUGUUUCUUACUGCCUGCUUUUGUGUUGUCAUUUCCCACAGUGCUCAUCUAAGACUCUGAAAGAAAGGAGGCAGAUAACAGCAUGUCAGAGAAGAGUGAGGGCUGGCUGCUCCCUGAAGUACAGAGAUCCUGGAGUCAAGAGCAGUAGUACUGCCAAGAAGGGAAGAAGUAUUUGGUUUCUCGGUUCCUAAAAGCCCUUUGUUCAUGGUGAAAGUGGUGAAACAUGAAGAAUGACCGUGAUGUCUCAGAGUUCAUAAAAACUUAUUUGUGUGAAGAGCUUUCCACGAAAAAUUUGACUCACCUCUUCCAUUUAAUUUUGUUUUGAUCCACGUUGUAUGUAACCUUUCUACCAGCUAUCAAAAGCAGCCAAAAGGGUUGUUCAAUGAACUAUGAAAGAUGUCAGAUUAUCGGUACCUUUAAUGUAGGAUUUUAUUUAAUGAAUAAAGACACAUGAAUUUUCUACAGAAUCCCAAAUCUCAAAAUUUUCUACUCCAUCAUGCUACUGCAAAGGUCACUUUUUGGCACAGAAUGUGCAUGCCUGAAAAAUCACUUACUCCUUGGUAUUACAGCCACUCUUUGGAAAGUUUGAAAUCGAUUGUAUUGUCAUACUGAUGACUUUGGAUUUGGUUUGUCUUUCAGGUGAACAUGAGGGUACAAGAUUCUACAAAACACUCUUUAAAAAAACACUGCUACGAAAAUUCAGUAGGGUUUGUAGGACAACUGUACAGAUUCUUUUCUUUUUUCCUAGUAGAGACUCAUAAUAUGGUUGGACUUCAAGGGACAUGCAGAAGUGGUUUAGUUCAAUACCUCACUCAAAUAAGGCCCAACGUGUUAUCUAGGCCUGAGACAUGACCUUUUUUUAAUUACCUUUCAGAGAAUUCUGAGGGAUUUUUAAUAUUUACAGUCUGUGACUAGAGUUUUAAAAUGCCUCUGAAAUAACAGGUUGAGACAGACAGGAAAAGUGACCUUUAGUUCCAAAAGGAGUGUAGGGAUUUAACAGAAAGAGUAUGUGAAGGGUAGAUGGGAGCAGGGAGAGGAAGAGGGUUGGGAGUAGUGUGGGCAGUAAUGAUUGAUUGAAUGAAAAGGAUAUUAUUACAUGGUAGGAGUUAAUGGCCUGGAGGCGAUUUCAGAUAAGAAGACUUGAGGGUUGAGGAGUCCAUGCAUGCUUAGAAUUGAGAAGGUUAAAGGAUUUUGUGCCCUGAUAGACAAAGGGAGAAAUGAAAGUUCCCAAGUAGGAGGUUUAGGAAUAUCCUUGCACCUUUAGCAGAUUCCUUGUGAUUCUUUUUGCUUUUGUUUAACACUGCAGGUUUUUGGUUUUUUUAAUUUUUUUAUGGUAAACCUUAUGGGUAUAUUCUUUUCCUUUUUUGAUUCUGUGCAAAUAUUCUUCAUUCCUCAUCUUCCUAAUCUGUAGAAAGAAAGUGAUCACUCAUAUCAGGCUGUUGGCCAUUACUUACAUGCUGUUCAGAUACUCUAAAACAGACUUUCAGAGGGAAAUUAAUAAAAUAAGCUAGAUUGCAAAUUUGUUGGUAUACUCUACUCUUCAAAGGAACAUACCACUUCAUCAUAUUUACAUAGAUAAUUUUUUAUUGAGAAAGGAUUUUUAUGAGAAUUGAUAGUUUCCAUCAAAAACAGAACGUGUUAGUAGAAUUUUGUCUGUAUAACUGUGCUAACAUAAUCUCAGGGAAGUUUUCCUUUCUUUCUAAUUUGACUCUUAGGUGUCCUGUGAGGUACAACAAGUAUAUUUGUUCUUUUCAGUGCACUGAAAAUACAAGAAUAAAAAGUAAUUAGAAAAUAGGGUAGCAAUGAGAAAAACUUGAGCAUCUGCUGUAAGCAGUUACUCAGGUGUAACUCCCAUCAUAGGGGAUUCACCUUCACUGUAGGAGAUAACAAGAUAUGAAAGCUCCUGGGCCCAGAGUCACUGGCAUGCUAGAUGUGCACCACCCCAUCUGGGUACUGUUUUCCCAGCUGACAUGUUUCAAUCUUGCAAAAGUGUGAGUGAAGAAUAAAAAUGUCAGACAAAGGGAGCAGCAUUACAUUUAGGAUAACUACUCUGUUCUCUUACUUGCAAGGAUCACAAUAACCUUGCAUAUUAAAGGAAAAUAAGAUAUUUACAUUUUUGUUAGAGUUGAAUGUGUAGGAGUUGUUCUUUUUCUGCUGGACAUGCUGUGCUGGCUAAGUUAAAAUAUUAAUGUAAACAUGGUAAUAAAGUAAUAAGUGCUAAUACGGGCUUAAUGAAAAUGAUGUUGUUAACUAAUUUCACUCAGUUUCUUAACUAAGGGCUCAAGGAGAACUGAGAGUGCAUCUAUUUGAAUCUUUUUCAAAUAUAAUGUGACCAACAACAAAAUCUUCUGUUUCCACUAGGGUAAGUCAAGAUGAAUAAGGCAGAAUACUGCUUUCAUAUUAGCAAUAAUAGUCAUGUUGUAGAGCAUUUUCGUUCAGGCCAAGAGAAGGUUUGCCAAACAAGUGUUCUGAUCAUCCCCAUUUCCCACACACUGUGGAGCGGUGUCACAGAAAAGGACCAGGUUCUUUCAGGAUGAAGCUAAACUAACAACUUGUUUCAGCAGCACACCUAAAGUAUUCCAGCUGCCCAUGACCAUUCAGUCCAUCAGAUCAGAACAAAGUUCAACCAAAAUAAAGCUCCCUGAAACGUAUCUAGUCUUCACAUUGGCUUCUUAGAAGUAGGUGUUUCACUCUACAGAUCUGUGCUAUUCUGUAAUCUAGACAGAGCCAAAACAUGUUAACUCUGCUUCUUGAUAUUUACUUAAAUAAGCCUUUUACUCUGCAAUAAUUUGUUAGAUCAGAAAUGGACUCUAACAAGUUACACAUGCAAACCAAUACUACCGAUUUAUAAUAAAAUCUGAUGGUUCACAUAACCAUGAGAGUCCUUGUUAUCUCAACUAUUUUCAACCCUCUAGUCCCAGAGCUCUUUUCUUUACAUCUCUGAGGUCUGUUGUUAGUGUCUUAUACCUCACAGCCUUAUGAAGAUUUCCCCAUGGAAAUCAUCUGGUGCAAAAGUUAUGCAUGCUCAGUAGGAAAAAGUACAUAGCAACAGGAGAAGUACUAUGGUUUACUGUUUGGCACUUCUCAUGCAGAAAGUAGGAAUGGUAAAAAGGGCCAUGUAGAGAGAAGAGAAAGUGUUUAGUGCAUAAAAUAAGCAAACAAGUAAAAAAAACCAAAAACAAAUGGAAUGAUUGCUCCAGUGUAAAUUGAGUGCAGCUUAGCCAUGAAUUAAAGUUUCCACACUUUAUGGGAAUGAGAUCAUAAAGCUGUCUCCCAGCUUUGACAUGUCAACACUGCACCAAAAUGAUUCUGCUAUAUCUUAAUUUAUAUUUCAUGAAGAAGCUCAAAAAUAAACAAAUAAACAAACAGACCACUGAAAGAUAACAAAACCACUAGUUUGAUUAGAGGCGUUGCUGUAGGCAUUAGUAGAACAUUGGGCUAAUUGCUCAUCAUUUGAUUAGUAAUGAUGGACUUUGGACAAUACCUACAGCCAGGCUUUGGAGAACACAGCUGCUGUGAUGCUGUGUAAUCUGAUGAAUCACAGCUGCAUAUAAGCAUUAAGUCCUUGCUGACUGAGAUUGAUUGUAGGAUGCUGAAUCCACAAUUACUUUAUAACUUAAAAUCUUUACAUUGGACAAUGCAAAGGAAAGCCUUUUUUUCCUAUUCAGCUAUUAAAUUUUUACAUGGACAUUUACAUGGUAUUUAUUGAUACGAUUUAAGGACUUGUUCAAAAACAUCAUUUAUGCCUGAUCUUGGGAAGACAUUUAAGUCAUAGCAUUUCCUCUGUUAUGAAUGCUGAAUUUACUGAAGCUAUUAUAAUAAAAUAUUUACCUCUUUGUGCUGUGGUGUAAGUUUUUCAGAUGAAGAGCUCAAAUCUCUUCCUCAUGUCCUCAAGAGAAACACAGAAGUAGGGAAAAUAAUCUUAAUAUCCAAUCAAUAAUGUAAGUUUUGACAUCUGUAUUUUAUUCCCAUCCAUCAUCUUCUUUUAAUCUGUUGUCUCAUUUCUGAAUUCAACAAUUCACCCUGCAUUUCUCAUCUCUUCUUUUCAUUACUAUUCAGUCCCAGACUUCCCAACAGGUUGCUCAUGUGGAGAAACUAGGAAGAACAAGGGUUUGUUGUGUCAAUCUUUUCCCUUCCAGGUCUCAUCUUAAUUCUUGUAUCUACUACCAACCAGUAUUGGAACAAAGGUAGUACACACAUCUUUAAAGAAGCACGUGUUGUUAACUUAGUGGUAGCUGGAUUUAAGACACAAAAAUGUAAAUAAACCUUCCUUGUUCCAUUGUAUGUUAGGCUACUACAAACGGAAAUAACAAGCAAAAAAAAAAAAGUCUCAGAAGGAACUACAGAAAUCACUUAUAUUUCAGGAUCUGGAAACUAAAGAACUGAGUAAAGCCUUAACAGUGUAACAAUUGUUUAAAUGCUACCCCAAUUGCAGGUUGCACGUAUCAGAAACUGAAAAGCAUUAAAAUGAAUGAUAUCUUUACAGUGGAAACACAUAAAUGCAGGGCUCAAAGUAGAACAAAUCUCUUUUUAAAAGACAAAACAUUUUCUAUCUCCUGUUAGUUGGACAGUAAAGUGCUAACAGAAGAGUGAAAUAGAUUCAAGUUUCCAAUAUGAAACAGUUCAUCACUGUGACAAAAAAAAAAAAAAAAAAAAGGUGAGAAAGAGAAAUCAUUAAAAAUCUAUGCAAAAAGUCAAUAGCAAAAUGUGAUUCAGUGCUGCUUUAAAGUCUUGCAAGGCCAAAAGACAGAAAGAUGAAAAUAAUGUACUUUAUAAUAAGUGGAGGUUAAACCAUACUGGUCUGGACUGGAGAGAUGAGUCAUGGUUUACAAUGGCUCCUGAGAAAGAAGAGGAGGUGGUACAGCACAUUUCUUCUCCAGAUUUGUCCUCCAUAAAAACCUGCCUGAGGCUUUGUGCUCACUCCAUCCCUGUUCUACCCUCAUGCACAUGAGGCUUUGAAGAACAUGUACACAGACUGUGAAUAAUCAGACUUAACCAAGUUGUACAUAACCUACCCUAGAAAGUUAUUCUGGCCUCCUUCAUUCACUCAGGUAGAAAAUAAAAGAACAGACUUAUUAGAGUUCUGGAUGGCUGUAUGAUGCUGAAGUAACAAAACUUCAUCAAAGGUCUUAAAAAUAAAUAUUAAUGUUGAAUUACCUGACUGAGAGUUAAAAAAAAUUUAAUUCAAAGACUUAGUCUCCAGAGGAAUGAGGCACCAAGGCUACAGCACAGCACAGAAUAUAGAAGGAGACCUUCACUCUGACAGCAGGAGGGUGUCAGCAUGGUUACAGCAUAUGGGUUGCAUCUUUCUACAUCCUAGUAUUCCAAGGAGGACAGAAUGUAGCCACAAGACACUCGAACUGAGGAAACAAAAAUAAAUGUGACUACUACCUAAUACUUACACAGGAUGAAGCAGACAAAAUUCAGAGGUGAAAGAUAAUGCUUAGGAGUCAAUAUAGAUAGGUUGCUCCAAAAGUAAUGCCUCCUGCUUAUUUCAAUGGAAGCUACAACAGAUACAAAGAGCAGAAUAGCAUCACUUGAUAGAGCAAAUUCUCAGCUACUAAACACUAUUUUUCAGCAAAGCCACCACCACUAGCUAUGCAUUUUUACCAGCAAUAAACAAGAGCCUGCAUGCCGCAGUCAUAAAUAUCUGCUUUCUUGCUUUAGUUUUCAUUGCCAAGGCCAGCCCUCAGGAAUCCCUCACCCAAGAGGCCAGAGAAAGUCUGGAGAAGCAUUGGAUUGCCCAUCUAGACUUCAGAAGGGCUUUUUACACUGUCUCCCAUUAUAACCUCACAGGCAAACUUAGGAAGUGUGGACUGGAGGAGGAGAUGGUGAGGUGGAUUAAGAACUGGCCGAAUGGCAUGUCUCAGAGAGUUGUGAUCAGACGCACUUUCCCUGUAAAGGGAAAAUAUUUUGGACACAGUAACUUGGAAUAAUCCUUCCUCCUUGCUUGUCAAAUGAGAGACCCUGGGCACUCCUCCAGUCCCAGUAAACAGUGAGGUGAUUCCCUGCCUAAAGGAUCACGCACACAGGCAGCCCCAACAUUCCCUAAACCUUUAACUUAAGCCCCCAUCGCCUGUCUUUUGAAACCCAGCCCCUUCUCACGGUUCUGUCUGUAACUUCCAUCAGCUUCUCUCUCUGACUUUUGUUACAUCCAGUAAUUCCUCAUGCCACAUUCAACAGUUAAUUGUAUUCAGUUACCUUAAGCUCGAGCCAGGGCCUACCACUUUCAUGCAGACCUCAAAAGGAAUGGUAAGUAUUACUGAACAGAUUAAAAAAAAAUAGUAAUCAGCAGACAGACAAGAUUGGGAUUUUGGGAUCAGUCACAUCACAAUCCUAGAAACUUUCCUGUACAUCCUUUGACAAACUCCCCAAACCACUGGCAAUGGCUCCUGAAAAACCUCCCUUCUCCUAGUGCAUAAGAGCCACAGAAACCUAGUCUCCAAAUACACAAGCAAAUUAGCAAAGCAAAAUGCCCUUGAGUGUGUUCUCCUUUCUUAAAACUCAGCAUGCCUUGAGUCAAUCACAUUCAUGUCACAGACACAUGGGGAAGAGCCCUUUGCAACAAUAGGUUUGCUGCUGGAAGAGAAACUCACAUUUCAUCUCCUCUAACUCUGCCCCUAGACUUCAUGCCAUGCAGUCAGUCAAGGGUAUAAAUACCAAUUAGGGACAAUGGAAAACGUAACAAUAGUUCCAAAAUCAUGUGGAUACAGACUGAAAGUUCAGGGUUUCUAACUAACUAAGAUUCUGCAAACAGCUAUCUAGUGGAAAUAAUAAUCUUGGUUUGCUUUUUUUUUUUAACUGUGAACUGGAGAAGUCUUACAGACAUGUUCUUGGGCUACUUGGGAGAAAGUUUCCAGGAGGAAUGGCAACUUCAAUGCCUUCUACAUGGUGCUGCUGAUCUCAGUCAAAUAAUAAGAAUGUAAAUCAGGGAAAGAAGCCUUAGUACUUGUAACAUUUUGAAUAUAAACUACAUAUUCAUGAUUCCACCAGCAGGCACAUGAAUAUGUGAUUCUGAGCUCAACUUGCUGACUGUAAGCUCUUCAGACCACUGCUUCAGUGAAGAAAUUUCCCAUUCAGCUAUUAUGAAUUAAGAAGUUAUAACUCUGCCCUGGAAAAUAUAGAUAGCAGGCAUAUUAAGAUCAGCUAGAGGGACAAGGAAGUCUUCACUGCAGAAGUCCAUAUGUUUGAAUGUUCAUACUGCAGUCAAUAAAUUCUGCUGAAAUGCCGCACUGAAGUAUAUCAACAGGGACAAAGUGGAGAAAUUCAGAAACCAAAGUGCUAACCAGUCAAAACUACUCGUGUUCAUAUUCUAGCUACCAGCAUGUGUUAAAAAGUACCCCAGCGAGCUUACUUUGGGGCUUACCGAAGGUACUCAACGUCUGGAAUAUACAAGUUUUCUAAUCACUCUACACGUUGAAGAUAUGAGUUUCAAAAGCACAAAUUUUCUGUAAUGGUAUUGAAUUAAUGCUAUAGGUGAGAAGGGGGAAAAGUGUCAGUUGUAUGCAUAAUUGCUAGUUUUGGACAGGAUUUUCUGAGAUCAGAGGAAGCAAAACAAUUAGUCCGUGACCGUGUAAGUCCUUUAAAUGUUUUGUGGUACAAUUACCAUUGAAAAGAAAGAAGACCUAUCAAACAGUACACACCUUCUGUUGGUGAUGCAAAAUUAUUGUAGUUAAUUGAAGUUAAUCAGAAAAUGUGAUAUUGAAAUUCUGCACAGCCCAACCUAAUUUUAUUGCAAAGCAUUGAUGAAGACUUCAGUUCACACACUGGCGAUGAAGUGAUGACAAUUCCUGCUAACAAAAGUGCAGAGAUCACUAAGAAAUAGCAUAUUAAUAUGGAUAAGAAAAAAAUAUUUUAAUUGCCUAUACUGUAUCUUCUAAUACCAAAAAAAAAAAGAACCUGCUUCAUCAUCAUACACUGCUUCUUGCUUUAUACUUCUUGCUUUAUAAUGUCAGCACUAGCAAUCUCAUUCUAGAAAUAAACCCCUUUGGUGGGUUCAUAUUCUAUAUUUCCUCUAUAACUAAAAGGAGGAUUCUCUCACACUCUGUAUGUUACACCUACUCCUCUCCUUCUGGUUAACUAAGGCAUUUCUCAAUACAUGACUGCAGAAGAUGUACCCACUAAGUAGUCACUUUAAAUUACGUAUCAACUAAAUUAGAUAGGUCUUAUGUUGCAGAUAUGGCCCAAAAUGACUCAUGGCCUGUUUAUGACUCACUUACUUUUUUUGGCAGUGUCAUCUUUUUCUUUCUCUCUUCUGAUGUAAUAGCCUACUCUUCUGAUGUCUUUAGAAAGAGACUCUGUGCUCUAUUACCUACCUAAACCAGCAAACCUCUGAUUCUCUGAUCAGCUUUUUAUGUUAGUACCUAUUUUGCGGCACAUGAUGUGUGGGGAUAAGAAGUGGGUUAGCCUCAGCUGAUCAUCAGGUGUCCAUCAAACCACUCUCUCACUUCACCUCCUUGACAGGACGGAAGGAGAAAAUAUAAUGGAAAAGCUCAUGGGUUCAGAUAAGGACAGGGAAAUCACUUUCAGUGAAGCAAUACUUAUGUAAUGAAUUUAUUUUGCAAAUCUGUGCUUAAAAAUAUGGUUUAAGUUGGUGUUUGCAUUUGAGCAUAUUCCUCUGCCAUUUAUAGGGAUUUAUUCCUUAGAAGAAGAACCAUCGUAUCUGAACGGAAAGUGGUGAUUGCGUUCUAUGUAUGCAAUGUAGAAUGAAGCCAAAAUUUAACAAUUAGUUUCAAUUUUCAUUUUAAUUCAUUCAUAAUCAAAUAAUCACAAAAAUAUUAUUUGAUUCUGAUAUCACUUUUUGACACUGUAGGGAAAGAAGAGCUACGAAAAGAUCUUCUGUAUGUCACCUCAAGCUUGUUGUAGAGGUCGGAGUAUUUAUUUAAAGUACAGCUUUUAAUUCUCACUGAACAAAGGAUGAAACUACAUGAAUCUAAUGCAUGGGAUGGAACAAUGACUGAGUAAACCAUCCAAUAUAUCUGUAAUUUACAAAGUCACUUUCAAUAUUGUGUUCUUCCCAUUACAAGGUGAAAUGAAAGCACCAGGUAAUACUUAGGGAGAAACUGUUUAACAGCUGGUGAUUUGGGGCUGAAAUGCACUUGUGCUUUCUUGCCUUUUUAUUUCUUGGUGCACACACAUCACUUUUUCCUAGUAAUAUUGGUCUGAAGUAAUACUGGUCUGAAGUGACAUUUUCUUAGGUUGUUUUGUUCCAUAGAAAAAGGAAAAAUAAAGAUUUCACACAGUGUACAGUACAAAAAAAGUAUACAUAUUUCAAAUCAUGAAGCAGUAUCUCAGACAUUUUCCCAGCAAUACUUAAUUUACUCAGAACAAACCAUAGUAGAACACCGGGUGGGAAAGCUUUGUUCACAACUUAAUUGCUAAAAUUGCAGUAGUCAAAUUCCUGCUUACAAUCUGAAAGAGAGUAGGGAUUGUCUUUUGGGAAUGAAAGGUUGGAGCAGGAAACGUCAGAGAAUAAAUAGUUUCAUUCUCAAUUUCUAAAAUACAGAAUAUUCUGUCCCUGGUGCAUACCUGAUUUUAUUGCAAAAAUAUAUCAUUUAAAUGUUAAAUCUGUAAGAGAAAGUUUUUCAGACUUUAGGCUCCCAGUUUGUACUUUUUUAUAAAAAACAUAUCAAAAACCUGAUAUCUAAACUACUUUUUAACAAUAGUUACACCACCUAAAAGGUACUGAAACUCAAACAAAAAACCAGCACAAAUUAUUUACAACUGCAGAUUGCUGUAGGAGGGUAAACACUAAGAAUAGUAACAUCCAUUCAAACCCUAUAGAGGAAAAGAAGACAGCGUUCAGUUGCCACCAUUUAGACGUUCGUGGCAAAGGUGGUGAGGUCUUCAAAUAAAAUGGAUAUGUCAGACUAAUAGAAUUGCAUCUAAAUCUAAAAGUAGUCACCUGCUAGUCCUCACUUAGAUUAUAUUUCAUAGUUCACUGCUCAAUUACAAUGGAGUCAGAGAACAAUAUAAGAAAAGGCUUUAGUAUAAUGAUCAAAGGAUGUAUGGAGAACUGGCUUCUACUGCUUUCUCCACCAAGCAACUUCAUCUAUGAUUAUGAAGAAUCUAGGUGGCUAUGAUGUGCUGCUGAGGACAUAAAGAGCUCAAUCCUUCAUCAAGAAAAAAGCACCUAGAAUGGGGUGUUCUCUAACCAUGCUGAGCGCUUCCAACAGCUAAAUAGAGCAGACUGAUAGCAACCAGCCCUGAACUAUUUUUUGGAAUCUGUAGGCAUAGAUUCCAUUUCUGAAACAAUUCUUUUGUGCUGAGUUGCAUGAGUGAAUUAAUGGAUGAAUACUAAUUGUGUAUCAUCAGUCUUACAGUUCAGCACAGCCAAUACGGAAGUGAUCCUGCACUUUCCUGCCAACAGACUAUAUUACAGAGGGAGGAAGCCCUGUGUUUUGAAGAUCCAUUUCUUUUAUAUGAAUGCUUACUAUGGCCAUCAGGGAUACGAAUCUUCCUAGUGAAUCUAGACUUGUUUUACCUUCCAGAAAUGUGCAUUUAGAACACCUACAGUUUAGUGCUCUUUUCAUGAACUCAAGAGGAUGAGAUUUCGCUGGAAUGAAAUGUACAUGUGUAUGGGGUAUUAAGUAUCUCCAGUGCAUUUGUUCCAACAUGUUCCAGCAUUCUAAUGAUUUAGUCUUAAGUAGACUAAAUAAUAGAGCAUUCAAUGAGUGUCUUAUAUCUUUCUGAUAUACUUUAUUUGAGCAGGGUCUUGGUUGUGUAAGCUAUUUUAAUUAACACUUUAAGCUAAACCUUCACCACCUGCUCUCCUUUAAAAUUACAAAUGUAAAAGGAAUCGCAUUCUCAGUAGUAUCAUUAAAAUUCAAGAUAUUAAAGAUGUAAAUGUGUGCCUUUUUAUUCAUUCCAAGAGCACUCGAUUGCGGUUUUCCUUUUUACUGUUUUUGUCUCAUGUAGG